rnacentral:rRNA from 1 species
UGGGGGAAUAUUGGGCAAUGGGGCGAAAGCCUGACCCAGCAACGCCGCGUGAAGGAAGAAGGCCUUCGGGUUGUAAACUUCUUUUACCAGGGACGAAGGACGUGACGGUACCUGGAGAAUAAGCCACGGCUAACUACGUGCCAGCAGCCGCGGUAAUACGUAGGUGGCAAGCGUUGUCCGGAUUUACUGGGUGUAAAGGGCGCGUAGGCGGGAUGGCAAGUCAGAUGUGAAAUCCAUGGGCUCAACCCGUGAACUGCAUUUGAAACUGUCGUUCUUGAGUGUCGGAGAGGCAAGCGGAAUUCCUAGUGUAGC